GAAGAUUCCCCGCCCCCACUUCUAGGCUUGGUUGAACCGUGCAGAUACCUUCUCGAAACAAAAGAUUUUCCUACCUGCUUAUACUUGGUAACCGAGGGAAUUUCUAAGACUUCUUGCUCAUUUCUGAGUAUUGUCUUUAUAUCCUGACACUAUGAAUGCUACUUGGAUGCCUCUUAAGGGUCUCUUCUGCAGGGUCCCCAUGAAUUGUGGCUGAAGUUGUGCACAAACAAGUAUCUCCAGUGACAGGAGUGCCUUCUGAGGCAGCCAUUGCAUCUUCAUCUGCUGACACUCUGCUAGGCUGACUUCUGUAGUUUUCACCACUGAUCUUCAGUCCACCUCACAGAGCUCUAUAAAACGCUUAAAUCCUCUUUACAUCAUAGACUUUCAGCUACUUGAAGAUAGCCAUCAGCCGCUACGUGACUCUUUUCUCCAGGAUCUCCCUAAUACUAUGAACGCGGCAGAGAUAACGGACAAGCUCGGCCUCCAUUCCCUCCGCUACAGAAACUGGCACAUUCAGGCUACUUGUGCCACUACUGGACAUGGGCUUUACGAAGGCCUGAACUGGCUCGCCAACCAGUUCCAGAACCAGAACUGAUCAGAAGGAUCUAUUCUUUGUGCCUUGUGGCCACAUCAGCUAGCCUCUGCUGUGUGCACGUGUACGUGUGUGCUGGGAGUGGAGGCAGCUUUCUCACAGUGCCUUAUCCAUGCCAUAAGAAAAGCAGUGUUACAUUUUAAGAAACCCAGUGUUAAGUUUUAAACACCACCUUCCAUUUCAGUAGCUUUGAUGAUCAUUUUUGCAAUUGAUGGAGAAGUCCAGAGGGCUUGCUGGUGCUCGAAGGCCAGAGCGGGCUUCAUGGAGGCGAGUUGGAGCGGGGACUGAGUUCAGCUGUUGCAAUCCUGGUCUGGCGUCUGGAGUCCUGUUAGUCUUUGGCAUCCUUUCGUAAAAAGGAAGGAAUUGUCAUUCUUUUUUUUUUAAAACCAUAUUUUUACUGUACCUUUUCAUGUUUAUUUAUUUUUUAUUAAAAAAAUUUUUUUUGAAACAGCCUCCCACUCUGUCGCCCAAGCUGGAGUGCAGUGGUGCGAUCUCAGCUCACUGCAACCUCCGUCUCUCGGGCUCAAGCAAUCCUCCCACCUCAGCCCCCUGAGUAGCUGAGACUAUGGGUGUGCACCACCACACCUGGCUAAUUUUUGUAUUUUUUGUGGAGACAGGGUCUUGCCAUGUUGCCCAGGCUGGUCUGUAACUCCUGAGCUCAAGGGAUCCACCCACCUCAGCCUUCCAAAAUGCUGGGAUUACAGGCAUGAGCCACUGCGCUACCGAGAAAUCGUCAUUCUUUACCACCACUGCUGCAGCUAGCAGCUCACUCUUCAGUGCUUUAAGCAAAUGAUCCUCAGGAAAGAAAAGGUAUUUGCUUAUUGCAGGUGCAAAGAGGCUCAGAUUGGAACUUUUCCCUGAAACUAUAUUGUAGCCCAGAGUUCCUGAUGUAAGACGCUUUAUUUAAAGACAUCCGUGAGCUUUUUCACUGGCAUAUCAAUACUUCAUAACACUAGGAAGGUAUCCAGCCUUUUCCUUAUGCUAGUUCCUUCCCUUAUUUGCCAGAUGGGGACCCUGUGGGGAGGUGACCCAGUGUGAGGCCGAAGCUCUUUCCCAGAGCCCCACAGGCCAGUGGAGGGUCGUGUUUGUGCUCUGGGCAUCACCGUCUUGGGUCUCGGUCCCCUGCGACUGCAGCUGCUACAUCCCUCCCUGCUCUGAGAUAAAUGUUCUUCCCAUGAAGCAGACGGUUCACUUUUGGGAUGGCGCUGUCUCCAGGUUUGGCUGUCUCAGUCCAGAUGAUGUUUGGGUGUGUUUAUGGAAGACAAACUGAGAUGUGCUGUCCCAGCCUUAGGCCCUGGCAGUACGCCUUGCCUUUUCACGGCACACCCACUACAGCCUUUCCCACACUGUGACACUGGAGCUGGUGAGUCAAAUGCAUGGCAUGGGAAGCCCUCUCUAGGAGGAUGCUGUGGCCACACAAGUGCUGGACGAACCGCUGGAGUUGAAGAUUAUUCUCUCUUCUAAAGAAAAUAGAAGAAUAUUAGGAGAAAAGACACUUGAAAAUGUUCACUCUUUUAUUCACAUUACAUCAUCUGUCUUGAAUAAUGGGUCUAUCUCUUUCCUGUUGCUCUGGCCCUGAAAAAAAAAUUAGCUUUUUAAGGCUGCUUUUGUUACGUGUGCAUUUUCUUGUAAUCCCGUCAUUCUGGGAUUUAAUAAUAAUAGUAUUAAUACCACCUACCAUUUGUUGGUUACUUACUGUGUUUUAGGCACUGUGCUAAACGCCUUCCAUGUAUUCAUCUCAUUAGUAAACAUUUCUGAAACUAUUCUUACA
rnacentral:lncRNA from 1 species